UUCCUACGGGGCGCAGCAGUGAGGAAUAUUGGUCAAUGGGCGCGAGCCUGAACCAGCCAAGUCGCGUGAGGGAAGACGGUCCUAUGGAUUGUAAACCUCUUUUGUCGGGGAGCAAAAGACGCCACGCGUGGCGUUCCGAGAGUACCCGAAGAAAAAGCAUCGGCUAACUCCGUGCCAGCAGCCGCGGUAAUACGGAGGAUGCGAGCGUUAUCCGGAUUUAUUGGGUUUAAAGGGUGCGUAGGCGGAAUAUCAAGUCAGCGGUAAAAAUUCGGGGCUCAACCCCGUCGUGCCGUUGAAACUGAUGU
rnacentral:rRNA from 1 species